rnacentral:rRNA from 1 species
UAGGGGAUCUUCCACAAUGGGCGAAAGCCUGAUGGAGCAACGCCGCGUGGAGGUGGAAGGCCUACGGGUCGUCAACUUCUUUUCUCGGAGAAGAAACAAUGACGGUAUCUGAGGAAUAAGCAUCGGCUAACUCUGUGCUAG